CGGGAUGUAGCGCAGCUUGGUAGCGCACUGCUUUCGGGAAGCAGGGGUCGGAGGUUCAAAUCCUCUCAUCCCGACUA
rnacentral:tRNA from 1 species